CUAAUAAACCACAUUUGAUUUUUGAUUUUUCUAUUCUAUAGAUUGUAUUAACGGCACUCUCCGACUUGUAUUACUUUCGUAGAUAUUGAAUUUCCCAAACUUUAUUCUUUAUCCUCGCAAACCCUAGCCUCCAUUUUUGUUCUCGCCAUUCUCCUUCAUUCUUGCCUCUCUCGUUCCAUUAGCGUAUCCACCUUCGCAACCUUCAAACGCCAUUUUGCAGUUACUUGGUUCUUCUUCUUUUGACAGUGGUAGUGAUAGCAUCAAAAGAUCUGUAGUAGCAUGAGCCUGAAUCACCUUCUACCGUUUUGCAUUGGCUCUGAAUUUCUACUUAAAUUUUGUGUGUUUUGUUUUCUAAACAUUUGCUUUGAUUCCAGAUAUGGUGUUUUAGUGAGAUUGAAUUGAUUUGCUUUGCUUUCAUGCUUGAAGGUAAGAAAAAUUAUGUUAAGCUUUAACAAAUUUUUACCAUCCAUUGAAUUUAUUUCAACUACAAUGUUAAGACACUACCACUCCACGAUAAUUCCAACAAUGGAGGCGAAGUUCAUCUGAAUGAUCCACUUGCUAUUGCGAAGCUUCAAGAAGCUACCAGAACUAACAGUGUUGAAGCAUAUAAACAGUACUCCAAGACCAUUCAGGAAUUAAAUAAGGCUUGCCAUUUGAGAGGGCUUCUGAAAUUUAAAGAGACAUCAUGUAACAUUCCUAUUGAUGAGGUCGACCCUGCAAGUGAAAUAGUUAAACGAUUUUGUACUGGUGCCAUCAGUUAUGGGUCAAUAUCAUUGGAGGCUCACACAGCAUUAGCAAUGGCAAUGAACAAAAUUGGAGGGAAAUCCAACACAGGUGACGGAGGUGAGCAGCCAUCUCGUAUGGAGCCUCUUGCUGAUGGCUCAAGGAAUCCCAAAAGGAGUGCCAUUAAGCAGGUCGCUAGUGGGAGAUUUGGAGUUUCAAGUUACUACCUUACAAAUGCUGAUGAACUUCAGAUAAAGAUGGCCCAGAAAUCCUAUAAAACUAAACAAUACAAAAAGGGAUUCAAAGCAGCCGAUGCCAUUUUGAAAUGAUUUCCAGAUCAUGGAGGGUCAUUCUGCUGUAUCUCAUCUGAGAAUUUUGCAUGUUCACUUGAUAGCUCAACUGAACCAUUUCCUACUGAUAUCCCUUGAUCAGAACUUUCAUGUAAGUCAUUUGUGUUGAGGUGUGAAAGAGUAGAAUCUGCAAGAGCCUCUUCUCUUGAGUUAAUUGCGCUCAUUUGAUGAAAAGUGAAUAUAAUAAAAUAUAAUAUGAAAAGAUCGGUAACAGCUUCAAGAAGGCCAAAUCUGUUUUAAUUGGCAAGGUGGACUGUGAUGAGCAUAAGACUUUGUGCAGCAAAUAUGGAGUCUCUGGGUACCCAACAAUUCAGUGGUUUCCAAAAGGAUCUGUAGAACCCAAAAAGGAGGCUGGAAGGUCAUGCCCUUCAUCAUAGGAUAUGAAACUUUUGAGAAAUUGGGAGCAAUUGGAACAUUAGUAAACCUGUUGGUCUAUCUUACAACCGUAUUCAACCUGAACAACAUCACAGCUGCAAACAUCAUCAACAUAUUCAGUGGCAGCACCAACUUUGCUACUUUUGCUAUGUGUUUUCUUUUCUAAUACAUUUUUUGGUCGCUACAACACAUUAGUAUUCUGCACUAUCACUUCCUUUCUGGUAUUAAUUUAAUAGAUAAAUUAUUCAUUUCAUGCAAAGAAAAAAAAAUCAAUAAAUUGUGCUAAAUUUUCUAUGAAUCACUACACUUUUAAUUCUAUUUCCAUGCAUCUAAUAGGGAUUGCUUGCAAAUGACAAUAUUAACUUAAUAGACAUCAUUCAACAAAGUUCUAUGAUUCACUACACUUUUUUGUGUCUGUGUCGUAUCUGGUGUUUGCAUUUCAUAUUCAAUUUUAAUUCUUGUUCCCUGCAUCCAAACAGGGUUUGCUUGCAAUACAACUAACAGCAGUAUUCAAGAAUUUGCAUCCACCACUGUGGAAAGGAAAGCCACACAUGCAAAGGUCCAACAACUGGCCAAAUGGCUUUUCUAAUAUCAGGAUUUGGUCUACUCUUAGUAGGUGCAGCAGGGGUUAGACCAUGUAAUUUAGCAUUUGGGAUUUUGAUCAGUUCAACCCCAAAACAGAUUCAGGAAAGAAAGGAAUCAAUAGUUUCUUCAAUUGGUAUUUCACUUUGGCACAGAUGGUGUCUUUAACACUAAUUGUAUAUAUUCAAUCAAAUGUGAGUUGGGCUAUUGGUUUGGGAACUCCUGCUGCUUUGAUGUUCAUAUCACGUGUUGUGUUUUUCAUGGGAGCUAAAUUGUAUCUUAAAGUUAAACCAAGUGGUAGUCCUGACACUAGUAUUGUUCAAGUCAUAGUUGUCGCUGUCAAGAAAAGAAGACUUAAACUACCUUCUGACCAGUGGUUAUUGUAUAUCCAGCUACAUCAGAUUUGGUUAAGACCUUGAAGCAUGUACGUUUUGCUGCUUUCGGCAAAUUCACUUGGAAGGAAUUAACUAGAGCGGGAUGAAAUUACUUUGGUUGUUGUAAUUUGACUGUACUAUAUACUUAUUUAUACUUUUAGCUUUUUUGGAACCAUGCUUUAAUUAGUAAUUAUGAUUUGUAAACAUGAUAUAUACUUUGUAUGGGUAGAAAUUUGACUUUUAAUAUU